GUAUAAUCCAAGUCCCACUAAACCUUUGAUUAAAAAUUACUCAACUUGUAGACUUAUUUGUCCUUAGGUAAUACUUUUUUUGGUACCAGGGUACGUGGAUAAGCUUUUAAGCAUUGAUUUGUUUACGCAUUUAAUAACUAUCAAAAGUGUUUAUAACUCCAGAAUAUUUCAGUCAUUUUAACGCAUAUAAUUAAAUGUAGCUAGUUUUUUGCAUAUGCACUUCAGACGCACCAUGGGGCACGUGGAAUCCCAUGUGAAUCAGCAAGGACCACCUUGCAAAGCUAAAUACUCCUGGGUGACCGAUAGCGAAGUAGUACCGUGAGGGAAGAGUGAAAAGAACCCCAAUCGGAGAGUGAAAUAGAAGAUGAUAC
rfam:Nicotiana attenuata strain TT chromosome 4, whole genome shotgun sequence.